GGGUUGUGAGGUUAAGCGACUAAGCGUACACGGUGGAUGCCCUGGCAGUCAGAGGCGAUGAAGGACGUGCUAAUCUGCGAUAAGCGCCGGUAAGGUGAUAUGAACCGUUAUAACCGGCGAUUUCCGAAUGGGGAAACCCAGUGUGACUCGUCACACUAUCAUUAACUGAAUCCAUAGGUUAAUGAGGCGAACCGGGGGAACUGAAACAUCUAAGUACCCCGAGGAAAAGAAAUCAACCGAGAUUCCCCCAGUAGCGGCGAGCGAACGGGGAGGAGCCCAGAGCCUGAAUCAGCAUGUGUGUUAGUGGAAGCGUCUGGAAAGGCGCGCGAUACAGGGUGACAGCCCCGUACACAAAAGCGCAUGUGCUGUGAGCUCGAUGAGUAGGGCGGGACACGUGGUAUCCUGUCUGAAUAUGGGGGGACCAUCCUCCAAGGCUAAAUACUCCUGACUGACCGAUAGUGAACCAGUACCGUGAGGGAAAGGCGAAAAGAACCCCGGCGAGGGGAGUGAAAAAGAACCUGAAACCGUGUACGUACAAGCAGUGGGAGCACCCUUUGGGGUGUGACUGCGUACCUUUUGUAUAAUGGGUCAGCGACUUAUAUUCUGUAGCAAGGUUAACCGAAUAGGGGAGCCGGAGGGAAACCGAG
rnacentral:rRNA from 1 species